rnacentral:lncRNA from 1 species
UCUCAGGUUUUUUUUUUUUUUUUUUUAACCCCUUUAGGUGGGACAGGAUGGCUACAGGGGCCUGGAUUUGGGUAUUUGCCUUCCCUCAGGUUUGUUAGGAUCUGAUAAAAUCCUAGUAGGGUUAGGCUUUGGUAAAAUAGUUUCUCUUGAGGACAGGCCUUGUUAAGAAGAACAGAAUGUUCUGGAGUAUUUCAAAAUUACACCUUUACUUUACUAUUCCUCUCCCUCUUACCAUUACUUUUCCCUCUUCCUGCUGGAAGCCCAAGGAGAUUUUUCUCUGAUGUUCACUGUGAGAACUCGGAGGAACUCCUGGAGGUAAAGUGUAGGCAUCCCCCUUGCAAGUGGGCCCUCCUGGAGCUUUAACUCCCAGACUUGUCCACACGGAGCCUCCAGCAAUUCAUCAACUACAGUUCAGGUUUUUCUAGCCUGGUAUUUGUUCCUGCACAGAUUUCUUUUUAUGAGUUUCUGCUCCUGUAAGUUGAUUCUCUGUAUCCUCCUGUCUAGGACUACUGGUUUGCUCUGCAAAUUUAAUUUUCUAACAAAUCUAAGAAGAGGUACUGAUUUUUGUUUUGUCAAGUUUUAACUUGUUAGGACAGAGUGAUGACUCCUAAGGUCCUUAUGUGCUAGAUGGGGCAAGCUUCUUUUUAUUUCAAAGGCUUUUCUAAUUUUCUCUUAAGGCAUUAUACAUUGUGAUUACUUGCUCUUGUGUUCCUUAUAGUAUAAUAUUUAUUCUUGAAUAAUGUAUUUUAAAAUUUGAAUUCUUUGCUGAAUUGCGUCACUUCAAUUUUUUUUAUCUUUUUGUUUUUCUCUUUUCUCAAAUAGGAAGUACUGUCAUUCUGACAGCAGGUUCACCCAAAGGGUACACCUUGACUUUGUAAUAGUAUCCCUGACUGUUCUGUUAAAUUUCAAAAUGAGAAAACUCUUUUUCGUCUAUUGACAGAUAAUGUGCACCCAAAUUAAGUGUGAGUGGGGGUCUGACUGUAUGUCUAAAGUGUACAGGCAGAGAUGAAUGUGUGUGGCUUUAGCAGAUCCACACUCAUCCAGGGAUAACUGGACCAUGGGGGCAGGGUGGGAGUGGAGAGAAGUCAUCAUAGGAUGGUAAUCAGGUGCUUGCAGGGAGAAGAGAAGGAAAAGCAGAUGAGUGAACAAGGGCAGAUGGUGCUGGAGAAUUCCAUCAAGUGGGCAUCAAGAAGGGACUGGAGGUUAAAACCUUUGGGAUAAAGAAGAAGAAAAAAAGACAAGCUGGUAAAAAGUAAGGUCUGGGGGGUGGAGGCAAGAAGGGGAGUUGCUAAAAACUCUAGAAUAAGCAGUAAGACAUCUUUCAAUAAAACUGCCCCUUCCCAGAUGGCACCUGGGCACUGUUUGCUGGGCACAAACAUGGCACUGUUUCCUAGGAGAUGAUUCCUCCAGUUCUUUAAGGUAGUAAUGAAUGACAACAAGAAGUUACUUCUCUAUGCUACACACGGUGUAGAAUCCAGAGCCUGACUGGCUGUGACGCGCCCAUGGUGACACCAAGGGGACUCUGCAUGGGCACAUCCCGGCCCUCCUCCCUGCAUGUUCUCCAAGCCAGGUCUUUGAAACCUCCAGUGAUGGGAAUGACAGAAUCUGGGAUGAUUUUCUUCUGUUUCUUAUCUAAAAAAACAACAAAAAGCUCAGCAUACACGGACUCACACAAACCUUUUGCUAGAGGCAGCUCUGUAGACUUAAGACGCUGUCAUUUUUCAGAAGAACCCAGCUUGCUUUGGAACUACAGUCAGCCCUGCAACCCACCCUCACCUUGGACCCUGCUGCUGCUGUCUGUAAAGGGUCUGGAUGAAGGAAGGGAGCCUCCAGCUUGUCGGCUGUACUUGCCCAGAAUUUAGCCUUUGCAACAUGGAGCUGCGGGGAUGGGAAAUGUUGUCCACUAGCCUUCCACAAUGCUGCGAUGAAUACACCUGUGCAUUCUUUUUUAGAACAAGUGUAAGAAUUCCUAUGUGCAGCUGGAAAAGUGCUGACCAGAGCAUUGUUGAAGGCCGUAUAGUAAGAAUGGCAAAGCUUCCCUACCAGCCCAACUGACUGUUUUGUGGUGCAGAGGCCAUCUAUUAUGUGAGAGAGAGCAAUAAAUAUAUAUAUAUAUAUUUUUCUAAGAGACUGGAGUCUCACUAUGUUGCCCAGGCUGGCCUUGAACUCCUGGCCUAAAGCAAUCCUCCCACCUCAGUCUUCCAAGUAGCUGGGACUACAAGUGUGUGCCACCAUGCCCAGCUCUAUAAACGUCUAUUUUUAUUGAGUCCCUAUGUGAGAUCAUUUUCUUGUAGCAGCUUACAUUCUGUACUAAAUUAUACAUGCAAUUUUUCAAAUGUAUUGGACAUUUACACUUUUUCUUCCAUGAUUUGCUUGUUCAAACCAUUUGCUUGUUUUCCAGUUAGGUUUUGCUUUUUACAUAUUUUAAUGGGUAUUCUUCGAAUAUUUUGGAAAUUUCUCCUUUGUUAAAAUGUUAUACCUCCCUCUCCCUCUCCCUCUCCCUCUCCCUCUCCCUCUCCCUCUCCGUCUCCCUCC